UAUUUCACUUGAACAGCUGAUGUUUACUGGCAGCAACAGGACAGAAUUUAUAGCAGCAAAUGGAAGCUGAGCUCGUGCGCUGGCGUCUCAGAGAAGAACUUUGUUUGCCAUUUCGUGGUUGUGAAAACAAUAUGGCCACGAUUUUGUAGUCAUCAGCACUCUGGUGUAACGACUUCCAUCUGGUCAAAGAGAGGCGUUCAGACCCUUUAUCUCCUUGACUUGAAGUCUUCAUCCACUCGAAGGCAACCUGUAACAGACUUAAUGCAUUUUGAAAAGUGUCUGUAACAAUCUGCUUCCCAGAGGAGAGCUGUCCUGAGGAGCCUGUGUGAUAGGCAAGGAGAGACAUGCCUGGACCAAACUAAUGGGAGGGACUCUAAUUGGAGCAGGAUGGCGGGAUGACUUUGAGGUGGGAAAGAAUAAAGGGAGCAGGAUGAUUUGUGGUGCGUUUCAAUUGGAGGUAAUAAGGACUCAGAGCUCCACAGAGACCAAGGGAUUGGAGGGUAAUACCGGAGGCCAGUCACGUGGUAAUACGGAACAGUUUAACAUCCUGUCUUGUCUCAGAACUUGCCACUGACUGAAGAAAUAUGAAGCUCCUGAUGGCCUCCACACUCUCUGUGACCCUCCUCAUUCAUUAGUAUCAAGCCCGUCCCAUGACUCGGCACCCAGUGAGGAGGAGACAAAGGAAACCGGGCCAGCACAGCAAGAGACCCAGAAUGAUGGUGGCACAGAGGGCCAUGGGCAGACGUUCCUGUAAGAGUGUGCAUGAGCCUAUUUGAACAGAUUUUGCCUAAUGAGAACCAGAGAGGAGGCUGCAGUGUACACUGAGGGCGGAGACAGAAACACCAGAACAGACCAGGUGCCCAAGGUCACCAGCACUCACAAAGGAGCAGAUUCUUAUUUCCUGUGCUGUGGUCCAAGAAGUCCUGACGCUGGGCAGGAGGGAUGCUGGACGAAGGCUCAGUCUCCACUCCGAGGAGGAAAAUCAGCGCAGGAAGCAGGGAGCUCACGGUGGAGUUGUCUAUAAUGAUGGCCCAGAAAUCCAAGUUUCAAGAACAUUUGCAGCCUCAAACAUCACUGACUGUCAUUCUAUAAGGAUAUAGAGUGCCGACUUAACUAUAAACUAUGAACUCCUUGGUUAUCAUGACAUCUGCUCCCCUCCUUUGGUGAAGACUGACAAGCACCUUGCUGUGUAAGUACAAGGGCUGAGGUGGGAGCAGAGGACAGGCAGGCAAGACCUUUAACCCAUGAGGGAACACAUUUGUCUCACUCUCCGCACCUGUCAUGAGAAAUUCCCAGCAGACUCACUUGGUUAAGUCGGUGUCGAUAAGCCUAAGAUAGCAGAGAUUCAAGCAUGCAAGGAGAGAGGCAGGGGGGAGACCGGACAAGGGAAUCGAAGGGCGAUGGUUUCUCGGGUUCCUUAUGGGGUCUGCAUCUAGAGAGGAUUUCCUUCCAUAUGGAAGUCAAAAUACUCUUUGGGAAAUUGCAGGAGCUUCUGCUUUUCAAUUCAGAUUGAGACGUACAGUUUGGAUUUCUGCAGUUCUGUUAUGAGUAGGCAAGAAAAGCAUUUCACCAAGUUACCAGCUCAAACCAGUAGGCAGAGAAGCUACCAGUCUAUCGAGUGGCUGCAUCCUGGUAAUUCCAUUGACUGCCUUUGGAAGAGUUGGAUGACAAGGUGGAAUAAACUGAAGUCAGAGGGAUGCCUCAGUGGUUCAGAGCACUGA
rnacentral:sRNA from 1 species